rnacentral:rRNA from 1 species
GGGGGUAAAAUUAAUAAAUAUAAUAUAAAUAAUAAAAAAAAUUUUAUUGUUAAAAAUAUAUAAUGGGGGUUAAAGUAUUUUUAAUAGAAAAAAAUUAAUAAAUUUAUAGUAUAGUAGUAUUGUAGAAGAAAUUUUAAAUAAGUUAAAUAUAAAAAUUAAAAAAAAGUAAAUUUAAAUUAUUGUAUCUUGUGUAUCAGAGUUUAUUAAAUAAAAAUUUUUGUUUAAAAAAUUCUCGAAUUUAAAAGAGUUAAUUAAUUAAAAAAGUUAAUGUUGAAUAAUUAUUUUAAAUAAUUAAUUAGAAAUGAAAUGUUAAUCGUUUUUAAAUAUAUCUAGUUUUUUUAGAAAAAAAUUUAAUUUUAAAUUUAAAUAAUUUUAUAAUUAAUUAAUUAAUUAUAAUAAUUUAAAAUUUAAUAUAUUAAGGGAUAAGCUUUAAGUUAAAAAGUUAUAAUUAAUAAUUUAUAAUUAAAAUUUUUAAAAUUUAUAUUGUUUAAAAAUUAUAAUUUAUUAUAAAAAAUUUUAAUUAAAUUAAAAUUUAAAAAUAAAAUUUAAUUUUUUAUAAAAAAAUUAUUUUUAAUAAUAAAAAAUUAGAAAUAAUGAUAAAAUUAGUAUAUUAUGAAUUAAAAAUUAUAAAUUUAAUUUGAAUUAAAUUAAAGGAAUUCGGCAAAAAUUUAUAUUCACUUGUUUAUCAAAAACUUGUCUUUUUGAUAAUAAUUUAAAGUCUAAAUCUGCCCCCUGAUAUAAAUUAAAGGGCUGCAGUAUAUUGACUGUACAAAGGUAGCAUAAUCAUUAGUCUUUUAAUUGAAGACUUGUAUGAAAGAUUUAAUGAAAUAUAAACUGUCUCUAAAUUAUUAGUAGAAUUUAAUAUUUUAGUUAAAAAGCUAAAAUAAAAUUAAAAGACGAGAAGACCCUAUAGAGUUUUAUAUUUAAAUUUGAUUAAAAUAAAAUAUAAAAUUAAAUUAUUUGAAUUAAAUUAAAUAUUAUAUUGGGGUGAUAAAAAAAUUAAAUGAACUUUUUUUUAAUUUAUACAUAAAUAAAUGAUUAAAUGAUCCAUAAUUUAUGAUUAUAAGAAAAAAUUACCUUAGGGAUAACAGCGUAAUAUUUUUUUUUAGUACGAAUAAAAAAGAAAGUUUGCGACCUCGAUGUUGGAUUAAGAUAAAAAUUAGAUGCAAAAGUUUAAAUUUUUGAUCUGUUCGAUCAUUAAAAUCUUACAUGAUCUGAGUUCAAACCGGUGUAAGCCAGGUUGGUUUCUAUCUUUAGUAAAUUAUAAUAUUUUA